GACGAACGCUGGCGGCGUGCCUAACACAUGCAAGUCGAGCGGUUCAAUACAGGCAGAGAUUUAUCGAAGCAGGUAUUGGAUAGCGGCGGACGGGUGAGUAACACGUGGGCAACCUGCCUUCGACUGGGGGAUAACACCGGGAAACCGGUGCUAAUACCGCAUAACAUGAGCGAGUAGCAUUACUUGCACAUCAAAGGAGUAAUCCGGUUGAAGAUGGGCCCGCGUCCGAUUAGCUAGUUGGUGAGGUAACGGCCCACCAAGGCGACGAUCGGUAGCCGAACUGAGAGGUUGAUCGGCCACAUUGGGACUGAGACACGGCCCAGACUCCUACGGGAGGCAGCAGUGGGGAAUAUUGCGCAAUGGGGGGAACCCUGACGCAGCAACGCCGCGUGAAGGAUGAAGGUUUUCGGAUUGUAAACUUCUUUGGCAGGGGACGAAGUAAGACGGUACCCUGAGAACAAGCCACGGCUAACUACGUG
rnacentral:rRNA from 1 species